CUUUGAAGAGAGAGUUCAAGAGGGCGUGAAACCGCUGAGAAGGAAACGGAUAGAGUUGACGAAACACAGCGGCAUUCAUCCGACCUGUCCUGGCAACUGGCUGCCCGGUAUAGAUCGUUCUCCUCGGGGAAUGACGGUCUGGCUGUCAGCUUAGUCGGCUGGUUGGUGCUUUUGCCGUUGGUAUGCGCGGAGACGUUCGCUGUGGCGUGUCGACGUCGAUGUCAGAGGACCAGUGCCAAAUGGUACUGGAAACCUGACUCGGCUUAGGUAUGUUCGCGGUGAAACGGUAACCACAUACGCCGCUUGCUAGUUGCGUAGCUGCCUCUGCAUAGUUGGGUGCGUUGUUGGGCGAUCGCGUGCGAUUUGUCUACAGCUGUAUUCCGGCUUGUUUCUGGCUAGUUACGUUGGCGGUGUAUCUCCGUGUAAAAGUCAGCCACCUAUCCGACCCGUCUUGAAACACGGACCAAGGAGUUUAGCAUAUGCGCAAGUCAUUGGGUGGUAAACCUAAAGGCGUAAUGAAAGUAAAGACUGCUUCGAGCGGUUGAUAUGGGAUCUGUGCUUGCUUGCAGGCGCAGCGCACCAUAGCCCCGUUCUUGUUGCUUGCAAUAGGGCGGAGGUAGAGCGUAUACGCUGAGACCCGAAAGAUGGUGAACUAUGCCUGAGCAGGAUGAAGCCAGAGGAAACUCUGGUGGAAGUCCGAAGCGGUUCUGACGUGCAAAUCGAUCGUCUGACUUGGGUAUAGGGCGA
rnacentral:rRNA from 1 species